CAGUCGCCGCGGUAAUACAGAGGGUGCGAGCGUUAAUCGGAUUUACUGGGCGUAAAGCGUGCGUAGGUGGUGGUUUAAGUCCGUUGUGAAAGCCCUGGGCUCAACCUGGGAAUUGCAGUGGAUACUGGGUCACUAGAGUGUGGUAGAGGAUAGUGGAAUUUCCGGUGUAGCAGUGAAAUGCGUAGAGAUCGGGAGGAACAUCUGUGGCGAAGGCGGCUCACUGGACGACUGUUGACGCUGAGGUGCGAAAGCGUGGGGAGCAAACAGGAUUAGAUACCCGUGUAGUCCCUGUCUCUUAUAC
rnacentral:rRNA from 1 species